GACGAACGCUGGCGGCGUGCUUAAUACAUGCAAGUCAACUUGACUUUAGAUAGCAAUAUCGAAAAGUAGGGUGGCGCACGGGUGCGUAACGCGUAGGUAAUCUGCCCUGAGGUCUGACAUAACCCGUCGAAAGGCGGGCUAACAUCAGAUGAUAUAUAAUCACGACAUCGUGGAAAUAUCAAAUCUUCGGAGCCUUGGGAUGAGCCUGCGUCUGAUUAGGUAGUUGGCCGGAGUAAUAGCCCACCAAGCCUACGAUCAGUAGCUGGUCUGAGAGGAUGAUCAGCCACACUGGAACUGAGACACGGUCCAGACUCCUACGGGAGGCAGCAGUAAGGAAUAUUGCUCAAUGGGGGAAACCCUGAAGCAGCAACGCCGCGUGAAGGAUGAAAUACUUUUGUAUGUAAACUUCUGUAAGAUGGGAAAAAUAUUCUCCUCGGGAGAAUUGAUGUACCAUCAGAGUAAGCCCCGGCUAACUACGUGCCAGCAGCCG
rnacentral:rRNA from 1 species